UGUAGUUCUGUUCUGCAAUCAUCCCUCCAAGCAAAAGUUGACCAGAAGUGGCACCACAGGUCCCAGAGAGAUGUGGCGGAAAGAAAAUUCCUGGACCUGUAGUUUUUCCUGAUCUAGUAACCAGGAAAAACUCCGGACCUUAUAAGGGAGAGUGUGGCAGAGUCAGGGUUCAGACCUGAGCCAACUCCCCCUGUUUAUCAGGCUC